CCUACGGUGGGCAGCAGUGGGGGAUAUUGCACAAUGGGGGAAACCCUGAUGCAGCGACGCCGCGUGUGGGAAGACGGUCCUCUGGAUUGUAAACCACUGUCCCCAGGGACGAAGAUGAUGGUACCUGGGGAGGAAGCUCCGGCUAACUACGUGCCAGCAGCCGCGGUAAUACGUAGGGAGCGGGCGUUGUCCGGAAUUACUGGGUGUAAAGGGAGCGUAGGCGGGACUGCAAGUUGGGUGUCAAAUCUACCGGCUCAACCGGUAGCCGCACUCAAAACUGCAGUUCUUGAGUGAAGUAGAGGCAGGCGGAAUUCCUAGUGUAGCGGUGAAAUGCGUAGAUAUUAGGAGGAACACCAGUGGCGAAGGCGGCCUGCUGGGCUUUUACUGACGCUGAGGCUCGAAAGUGUGGGGAGCAAACAGGAUUAGAUACCCUUGUAGUC
rnacentral:rRNA from 1 species